CCCCCACUGAGUUACACACUACCGUUCCUGAGACACUAUUUUAACGGGUUUCAAGGGUAAAAGACGCUGUACCUUUACAGAACUCCAUGAGGAUCAGGACCUCCCACACACUGUCUGAAACUGGAUU